rnacentral:rRNA from 1 species
ACGCGAGGCCGAAAGGCGUAGUGGAUGGAAAGCAGGCGAAAGAUUCCUGCACCCGUAUAUGGAGCGAAGGAGUGACGGAGACGGAUAGUGUGACCCUCUUAAUGGAUUGAGGGCGAAGCGAAGCGGCUGGUUACCAGGUAAAUCCGGUAACCUUAAGGCUAGAGCGUGACAGGUAAGCGAAAUCUAAGGAAAGUAGCGAAGCACAUGAUGACGGCUUCCAGGAAAAGCUUCUGGCAAUGCAUAUGCGGCCCGUACCAAAACCGACACAGGUGGGCAGGGAGAGAAUCCCGAGGUGAGCGAGAGAACUGUUGCCAAGGAACUCGGCAAAAUGACUCCGUAAGUUAGCGAGAAGGAGUGCUUAAGCAAUUAAGCCGCAGUGAAGAGGCCCAAGCGACUGUUUAACUAAAACACAGCUCUCUGCGAAGUCGCAAGACGAAGUAUAGGGGGUGACACCUGCCCGGUGCUGGAAGGUUAAGAGGAUCUGUUAAGAGCGAUCUGAAGCAGUGAUCCGAAGCCCCAGUGAACGGCGGCCGUAACAAUAACGGUCCUAAGGUAGCGAAAUUCCUUGUCAGGUAAGAUCUGACCCGCACGAAAGGUGUAACGAUUUGGGCGCUGUCUCGGCAGCAGACUCGGUGAAAUCUUAGUACCUGUGAAAAUGCAGGUUACCCGCAACUAGACGAAAAGACCCCAUGGAGCUUUACUGCAGCCUGAUAUUGAAUUCUGGUCAUACAUGUACAGGAUAGGUGGGAGACAAAGAGACGUGCACGCCAGUGUACGAGGAGUCGACGUUGGGAUACCACUCUUGUGUGACCGGGGUUCUAACCUGGUAUCGAGAACAGGUACGGGGAGAGUGUCAGGUGGGCAGUUUGACUGGGGCGGUCGCCUCCCAAAGAGUAACGGAGGCGCCCAAAGGUACGCUCAGAUUGGAUGGAAACCAAUCGACGAGUGCAAUUGCAGAAGCGUGCUUGACUGUGAGACAAACAAGUCGAACAGGGACGAAAGUCGGGAAUAGUGAUCCGGCGGUGCCGAAUGGAAGGGCCGUCGCUCAACGGAUAAAAGCUACCCUGGGGAUAACAGGCUGAUCUCGCCCAAGAGUUCACAUCGACGGCGAGGUUUGGCACCUCGAUGUCGGCUCAUCGCAUCCUGGAGCUGGAUUCGGUUCCAAGGGUUGGGCUGUCCGCCCAUUAAAGCGGUACGCGAGCUGGGUUCAGAACGUCGUGAGACAGUUCGGUCCCUAUCUGUUGUGGGCGAAGGAGAUCUGCGGAGAGCUGUCCUCAGUACGAGAGGACCGGGAUGGACCUACCGCUGGUGCACCGGUUGUUCCGCCAGGGGCAUAGCCGGGUAGCUAAGUAGGGAAAGGAUAAGCGCUGAAAGCAUCUAAGCACGAAGCCUACUCCAAGAUGAGAUCUCCCAUUCGCAAGAAGUAAGACCCCUUAAAGACGAUAAGGUAGAUAGGCCAGGGAUGGAAGUGCAGUGAUGUACGGAGUUGACUGGUACUAAUCGGUCGAGGACUUAGU